CAAUCUGCCGUCUACUCUUGGACAGCCUUCUGAAAGGAAGAUUAAUACAAGAUGGCAUCAUGAGUCCGCAUGUUCACAUGAUUAAAGGUAUUCCGGUAGACGAUGGGGAUGCGUUCCAUUAGAUAGUAGGCGGGGUAACGGCCCACCUAGUCUUCGAUGGAUAGGGGUUCUGAGAGGAAGGUCCCCCACAUUGGAACUGAGACACGGUCCAAACUCCUACGGGAGGCAGCAGUGAGGAAUAUUGGUCAAUGGGCGAGAGCCUGAACCAGCCAAGUAGCGUGAAGGAUGACUGCCCUAUGGGUUGUAAACUUCUUUUAUAAAGGAAUAAAGUCGGGUAUGGAUACCCGUUUGCAUGUACUUUAUGAAUAAGGAUCGGCUAACUCCGUGCCAGCAGCCGCGGUAAUACGGAGGAUCCGAGCGUUAUCCGGAUUUAUUGGGUUUAAAGGGAGCGUAGAUGGAUGUUUAAGUCAGUUGUGAAAGUUUGCGGCUCAACCGUAAAAUUGCAGUUGAUACUGGAUAUCUUGAGUGCAGUUGAGGCAGGCGGAAUUCGUGGUGUAGCGGUGAAAUGCUUAGAUAUCACGAAGAACUCCGAUUG
rnacentral:rRNA from 1 species